rnacentral:rRNA from 1 species
UACGAAGGGGGCUAGCGUUGUUCGGAAUUACUGGGCGUAAAGCGCGCGCAGGCGGUUCUUCAAGUCAGUGGUGAAAGCCCGAAGCUCAACUCCGGAACUGCCAUUGAAACUGUAGAACUUGAGGAUGAGAGAGGUGAGUGGAAUUCCCAGUGUAGAGGUGAAAUUCGUAGAUAUUGGGAAGAACACCGGUGGCGAAGGCGGCUCACUGGCUCAUUUCUGACGCUCAGGCGCGACAGCGUGGGGAUCGAAACAGG